CGCAGGGCCUGGUCACGUGAGGGAAACACUGCGGGCCCCAGGCUGCGGACGGAGCCUGGAGAGCCCUGUCCUGUUUCCCUCCGCGCUGAAGUCAGGCUGUCAGGAAACCUGGCCCGUCUCCCGCUAAGCGACCUAGACCUCCACCCUCGCAUCACUACAUGCGAAUUAUACCUCUGGAUCGAACUUGGGACCUUGCGCUUGCCAGGCAGGUGGCGGAACCACUGAGCUAAAUCCCUGGCUCGGCUGAGUGAAUUUUUGAUAGGACAAAUGUCCCACUGCGUUAUCUGCGUGAGGGGGAAGUCAGCCUGUGAAUUGUGGAUACAAAAGUCCCUUUUCCCCUUAUCCUCAGCUGGGAGACUUUUCCC
rnacentral:lncRNA from 1 species